rnacentral:hammerhead_ribozyme from 1 species
AGCAAGUUAACGAGUCCCAAAUAGGACGAAACGCGCGUCCUGGAU